GAGUACGGCCGCAAGGCUGAAACUUAAAGGAAUUGGCGGGGGAGCACUACAACGGGUGGAGCCUGCGGUUUAAUUGGACUCAACGCCGGAAAACUCACCGGGGGCGACAGCAAUAUGUAGGUCAGGUUAAAGGUCUUACCUGAAUCGCUGAGAGGAGGUGCAUGGCCGUCGUCAGUUCGUACUGUGAAGCAUCCUGUUAAGUCAGGCAACGAGCAAGACCCGUGCCCACUGUUACCAGCAUAUCCUUUAUGGAUGAUGGGGACUCUGUGGGGACCGCUGCUGCUAAAGCAGAGGAAGGUGCGGGCUACGGUAGGUCAGUAUGCCCCGAAUCUCUCGGGCUACACGCGGGCUACAAUGGUUGGGACAAUGGGUAUCUACUCCGAAAGGAGUUGGCAAUCUCUUAAACCCAAUCGUAGUUCGAAUUGAGGGCUGUAACUCGCCCUCAUGAAGCUGGAAUCCGUAGUAAUCGCGUUUCAACAUAGCGCGGUGAAUCUGUCCCUGCUCCUUGCACACACCGCCCGUCAAACCAUCCGAGUGAGGUAUGGGUGAGGGCACGAACUUAGUGUCGUGCUCGAACCUAAAUUUCGCAAGGAGGGUUAAGUCGUAACAAGGUAGCCGUAGGGGGAUCUGCGGCUGGAUCACCUCCU
rnacentral:rRNA from 1 species